CCUACGGGUGGCUGCAGUGGGGAAUAUUGGACAAUGGGGGCAACCCUGAUCCAGCCAUGCCGCGUGUGUGAAGAAGGCCCUCGGGUUGUAAAGCACUUUCAGUGAGGAAGAACGCCUGGUGGUUAAUACCCAUCAGGAAAGACAUCACUCACAGAAGAAGCACCGGCUAACUCCGUGCCAGCAGCCGCGGUAAUACGGAGGGUGCGAGCGUUAAUCGGAAUUACUGGGCGUAAAGCGCGCGUAGGUGGCUUGAUAAGCCGGUUGUGAAAGCCCCGGGCUCAACCUGGGAACGGCAUCCGGAACUGUCAAGCUAGAGUGCAGGAGAGGAAGGAAGAAUUCCCGGUGUAGCGGUGAAAUGCGUAGAGAUCGGGAGGAAUACCAGUGGCGAAGGCGGCCUUCUGGACUGACACUGACACUGAGGUGCGAAAGCGUGGGUAGCAAACAGGAUUAGAUACCCUAGUAGUC
rnacentral:rRNA from 1 species